UGAGUACGAGCUGCUACGGCAGCGAAGUGGGUGAUGUCAAGCUUCCAAGAAAAGCCCUAUACCCGUUAAGGCAUGAUGGCCUGUACCCGAAACCGACACAGGUGGGGUGGUAGAGAAUACCGAGGGGCGCGAGAUAACUCUCUCUAAGGAACUCGGCAAAAUGGCCCCGUAACUUCGGGAGAAGGGGUGCCACCGCAAGGUGGUCGCAGUGAAGAGGCCCAGGCGACUGUUUACCAAAAACACAGGUCUCCGCUAAGUCGCAAGACGAUGUAUGGGGGCUGACGCCUGCCCAGUGCCGGAAGGUUAAGGAAGCUGGUCAGCGUAAGCGAAGCUAGCGACUGAAGCCCCGGUGAACGGCGGCCGUAACGAUAACGGUCCUAAGGUAGCGAAAUUCCUUGUCGGGUAAGUUCCGACCCGCACGAAAGGCGUAACGAUCUGGGCGCUGUCUCGGAGAGAGGCUCGGCGAAAUAGAAUUGUCUGUGAAGAUGCGGACUACGUGCACCCGGACAGAAAGACCCUAUGAAGCUUUACUGUAGCUUGGUAUUGUGCUCGGGCUCGGAAUGCGCAGGAUAGGUGGGAGGCUAUGAACCAUUGCUUGUGGGUGAUGGUGAGCCACUGGUGAGAUACCACUCUUUCCGAGCUAGAGUUCUAACAGCCACCCGUUAUCCGGGGGCUGGACAGUAUCAGGUGGGCAGUUUGACUGGGGCGGUCGCCUCCUAAAAGGUAACGGAGGCGCGCAAAGGUUUGCUCAGGCUGGUUGGAAAUCAGCCGACGAGUGUAAAAGCAGAAGCAAGCUUGACUGUGAGACCUACAAGUCGAACAGGGAGGAAACUCGGCUUUAGUGAUCCGACGGUUCUGAGUGGAAGGGCCGUCGCUCAACGGAUAAAAGUUACUCUAGGAUAACAGGCUGAUCUCCCCCAAGAGUUCACAUCGACGGGGAGGUUUGGCACCUCGAUGUCGGCUCAUCGCAACCUGGGGCUGAAGUCGGUCCCAAGGGUUGGGCUGUUCGCCCAUUAAAGCGGUACGCGAGCUGGGUUCAGAACGUCGUGAGACAGUUCGGUCCAUAUCCGGUGCAUGCGCAGGAAUAUUGAGAGGAUUUCUCCCUAGUACGAGAGGACCGGGAGGAACGCACCUCUGGUGUACCAGUUAUCGUGCCAACGGUAAACGCUGGGUAGCCAUGUGCGGAGAGGAUAACCGCUGAAAGCAUCUAAGUGGGAAGCCCACCUCAAGAUGAGUAUUCCCAUGGGGUAACCCAGUAAGGUCACGGGAAGAACACCCGUUGAUAGGCUCUACGUGGAAGCGCAGUAAUGUGUGAAGCGGAGGAGUACUAAUAGACCGAGGGCUUGAC
rnacentral:rRNA from 1 species